rnacentral:rRNA from 1 species
UACGGGGGGGGCAAGCGUUGUUCGGAAUUACUGGGCGUAAAGGGCUCGUAGGCGGCCAACUAAGUCAUACGUGAAAUCCCUCGGCUUAACCGGGGAACUGCGUCUGAUACUGGAUGGCUUGAGUUCGGGAGAGGGAUGCGGAAUUCCUGGUGUAGCGGUGAAAUGCGCAGAUAUCAGGAAGAACACCCGUGGCGAAGGCGGCUCUCUGGUACGUGACUGACGCUGAGACGCGAAAGCGUGGG